CCUCAUCAAAACCUUAAAAAGAAAAAGAACCUUGUAAGGAAAAAAUCUUAAUGAUGGAAAAAGAGUACACAUAUCUUGUAAUACGCAUUACUUGCUCCUUAUUAAAAACCUUGCAAGGAAUAUAUAGUGGGAUAAAACCUUAGCCAAGGAAAAAAGAGUACAAUGCGUAUUUGCCUCCCCCUGAUGAAAAUAUCACUUUAUAUCUUGGAGAUAGAAAAUUUCAAGCUUGUAUAACAACUUCUCUAAUCUUUGAGACCGACAAUGCCUUGGUGAAUUAUUCCACCAAAUUAUCACUUGAAUAAAUUUCUUAAACAUUUAUUUCACAAUAGGCGUUGCGGGUUCACUGGGGUCGGGAGAGUUCGGGGCCAUUCUCAUCAUGAUCGAUCCACGUCCUAGGGGAGUGCCCGGCUUGCUUAGCAAUCAAACCUAGAUUAUUAAGGUAGCUUACUUUUUCAUUUUGAAAAAAAAGGCGAAGGCAUUUUUUUCAUUUUGUUGAAGAUUGUUUUUGACAAAGAACUUUGAUGAAAUAUAGAAUUUAUUCUGUCUCCUUCAAAUUUAUCCUUUUUUCAGUUGAGUUAAACAAAUAUUAUAGCCUUCACUAUUAUUGGAAUAUUAUCUUCAAGAAAAAGUCACACAACGAGUCAUUUGCUUUAUCAAUUGAUACAAAUAGAUAUUUGAAGAACGAACUUCAAAAAAUACAUGCAUUUCCAUAACCAAUAAAAUCUUGACAAUAUUUGUUAGGACAAAAAAAUUUGUAUCAAUGAUUCCUUUUGCAAUAUAAUAGUAGUACUAUUCCAAUAUUUCCAUAUAGGAGUAAAACUAUAUCUCGCUAGCAUAUUAUUAUACUCAUGGUUCUAGCGAGAUAUAUAGUGAACCACUUGCAAUAGACACAAAAAUAAAUCUUGUAAGCCAUGAUUGCUCUAAUUCACAUAAAGAUUUGUUGAAGCUUUAUUUAAUAAAUAUCUUUGGGACAUUAAUAUGUUUCAAAACUAUUUAAAUCCUUCAAUGAUUUUUAUAUACGCACAACAAAUUUACCAGGUAUUUGCAGACUAAAAUCUAAAAGCAACUGUAUCUACCACAAGGGAACAUGUUUCCAUAUAAUCAAUGCUAGGACAUUUACGUAAACUCUUGUGUCAGCCCACUGGCUUUACACUUUCAGGUGUUGGGACUAUCAGUCCAAAACUUCCCAUUUUCCAAGUGAAGUCAAUCUUGAUUGCGUAUUUUUCAUUGACCAAUCAUUCCGUGAUGAUCCAAAGAGGCCAUCACCUAUUUUUAAUCGAAUUCUAUAUUUUUAGGCCUUAAAAUCCUCAUUUAGAGUCGCUUUGAUUUACGUGCACAGUCCGGGCGCGUAGCCAGAAAGCUUAAAUAUGAAAUUCUAUGAAAAAUGCUAAGUUUUGAUGUUAAAAUGGAUAAAUUUGACCUUGGUCAAUAUUUUGGUCAAACGGACCCGGACCUGUGAUUUGACGGUCCCGAAGGAUCCGGAAGAAAACAUGGGUCUUGGACAUAUACUUGGAAUCAAAUUUUGAGGUCCCAAGACCGAUAGAUGAGUUUUUAAAUGAAAUUAUUUAAGGAAAUCUGAAAUAAAAACUGAUUAGAAAGCGAUGGUAUCAGCUCGUAUUUUAGUUCCAGUGCUCGGUACAUGCCUUAUAUAUGAAUUGAGUCGUUCAUGUGAAAUUUCGUUAAAAAUAGACGUCAUUUGAUGUGAUCCGGAACUUAAUUGGAAAAUUUGAUUUUUAAAGGAGUUUUGAGAAAUUUCAGUGAUCUUGAGAAUUAAUUCGAUGCUCGUGAUAUUAUUAUAGUGAUUUGAUUACAGGAAUAUGUUCAAAGGAUUUUUGAAGUUGUGUGUGUAUUUGAGUUGGAGUUUCGAGGGCUCGGGUGAGUUUCGGGUAGGUGUCGGGAUGCCUUAGACUUAGAAAUAAGAUGAACCCACUUGUGUGGUCCGCGAGCUACCGCAUGCGGCCGCAGAGGAGCCAGAAUGGCCGCGGUCGCUUUUCUGCGGUGCACGGGGGAGGCUGUGUGACCACAGUCGCCUUUGUGCGGUCUGCACAGGGUGCUGAACUACAAGUCUUCAAGUAAGUCUGUGCGGCCGCAGACCAUUUAGUGCGGUCCGCACACGGGGUCGGCCAAAAGUAUAAAUAGAUGGGAUUUUCAGUUAUUUUUUAUUUUUCAAAAUCCUAAAACAUAAGAGGCAAUUUUUCAAGAAAUCUUUCUUCUCCAAAUCAAUUGUAAUUCAUUUUUAACUACUUGUCUUCAAUCGUUAAUAUCUUUUAACAUGAUUUCCACUUCAAAUCAAAGAUUUUCAUGGGGGAAAUUGGGUGUUUUGAAUAGAACCUGAUUUGGACCUCAAUUUGAGGCCUGAUUUUAAAAAAAAUGUAUAUUUGAUUUCAUGGGGGAAUGGGUAGUCGGGUUUUGGUUCUAACCUCGGGUUUUGACCACGUGGGCCUGGGGACAAUUUUUGACUUUUAGGUAAAACCUUGGAAAACUCAUUCUCAUGCAUUGGGAUUGAUUCAUUUAGUGUGUAUUGACAUAAUAAAGUAAUUUGUGAUUAGAUAUGAAUGAAUUGACGGUGGAACCAAGGGGCAAAGCUAUAAUUGAGAUGUGAGUUGUGUUCGAGGCAUCCAGGUAAGUGUUUGGUCUAACCUUAGCUUGAGAGAUUAGGAGUUGCAUCCUAUUUACUAUGUGAUAAUUGUUGAGUGCGACGUAUAGGCAUGGUGAUGAGUAUAUAUACGUUGGUUUCUAGCAUGACUGCGAGUCUUUGCCUUGUGAAUAUCAUGAUAUAAUUUUUUCUUUUAUGCCUUGGUGAUGAUUUCUAUAUGUUAUGAAAAGAUGGUGAAAGAAAUUGUGACCUUUGAACAUCGAGGAGUAUUGACUCGAGUAUACUACAAAUUGUGAAAGUAUAUGAGAUGACUGAACCCUUUGGAGCAUUGGCUCAAGAAGUAAAGCGAGUCGUGAUGUAAAAGUGAAAGAAAGAGAAAGAUUUAUUAAAUUAUUCCCUUGCGUGGAAAUUUUUUGCUUUGUUGAUUAUCUCCCUUGCCGGGAAGCUGAGAUUUAUUGAUAUUGUUCCAUUGCCGGGAUUUAACUGUUAAAUUGUGCCCCUUGCCGGGAUUUCUAUUAUUAUUUGUUUACUCCCUUGCCCCUUGUUUGUGAUUGUUGUUGGGUGAGAAAGAGUGUUAAAGCACGACGGGUGAUGUCGUGCAUUAUUUGUUAUUGUGAGGAAAGAGUCCUAAAGCACGAAGGAGGAUGUCGUAUCGAACGAUGUACCAUUCCGUAUCGAUUAUUAAUUAUAUGUGAGGAAAGAGAGUAAAAGCACGAAGGGUGAUGCCGUGGACAUUUUAUUAUAUCAUUGUAUGAUAAGGACGAGAGUAAAAGCACGAAGGGUGAUGUCGUGCACAUUUUAUUAUAUAAUUUCUUGGUGAGGAUGAGAGUAAAAGCACGAAGGAUGAUGCCACGCACUUAUUGAUUUAUGAUUCUUUAUUGAUGUCUGAGUUAUGUUGCUUUCUUCAUUAUUUGAUGAUUUUUAUUCGGAGUUGUUAUCUUCCUCACAGCAUGCUCCCUCUCCCAUUGACUGGUUAAUUCCUGUAUUUCAUUUUUGUUGUAUAUACAUAUAUGAACUACACAGGUUUAUUUGGUAGUGUGGUCCGAGCCUCGUCACUACUUCGCCGAGGUUAGGCUAGACACUUACCAACAUAUGGGGUCGGUUGUGCUGAUACUACACUCUUUGCUCUUUUGCACAAAUCCAUGUACUGGGCAACAUCAUUAGUUAGAGAGCUUCCUUCAGUCCACCCGGAGACCCAAGGUAGCCCUGCAGGCAUCCGGAGGCCCUGACGUCUCCUUUUAUCUCUAUUUCCUAUUUCAUUUUCCUUUAUUCAGAAAUAGUGUAUUGUUAUUUAUUCAGACCCUAUUUAGUAAUCUUAGAUAGACUGUGACACUGUGAUACCGGGUUUUGGGUGGCUAAGACUUAAGUAACUAUUCUUUCGCAGAUCAGGUGUUUAAUUGUUAUUUUCCACUUAAUUAUCUAAAGUUUCGCAGUUUUCAUGUUACUGCCUUUUUUAAUUGUUAAAAGAAGUAAUUUGAUAAUAAGGUAAGUAGUUAAGGAUUGUCUUAUCUAGCUCUCACUAGUAGACGCCAUCACGACUCCCGUAGAGGGGGGAAAUCAGGGUCGUGGCAAGUUGGUAUUAGAGCUCUAGGUUACAUCGGUCUCACAGUUCACAAACAAGCUUAGUAGAGUCUUGAGGGAUCGGUACGGAGACGUCUAUAUUUAUCCCCUAAAGGCUACAGAGUUAGGAAAAUUUCACAUUAGUUCUUUCUUGUCGUGCAGUUUGGUUCCUCAAUACUAAUCGAAUUUCUACACUGUUCUUUCACAGAUAGCGAGAACACGCGCUUCAUCAUCUAUCGCUCAGCAGCCCGAGCCCCCACCAACAACACUCACUAGGGGCAGAGGACGAGGUUGAGGUCGAGGUCGUGCUAGAGUCCGAGGUAGGGGCAGAGCUCAGCCCCGAGUAGCAGCACCAAUGGUGGAGCCUUAGGUUGAUUUUGAGGAAAAGGUUUAGGCCCCAACAGUUUCGGUCGGCCCAACUCAUGUCCUAGAGGGGUUUAUUGCUACCCUAGUUCUUUAGAACGUUUUGGUCCGAUUGGUGGGCCUCAUGGAGAGUGUAACCCAAGUAGGUUUGCCUCUUCUAGUGCUAGCCACUUCUCAGGCUGGGGGGAGGGGCUCAGACUCCUGGUACUCGCACUCCAGAGCAUGCAGCUCUUCAGAUUCAAACUCCAGCAGUUCAACCAGUUGGAGUAGUACAUCCUGGUAUGGUAGCUCAGACGAUUGAGCGGCUAUGUCCGCCGAUGUUUUGUGAAGGCUGGAUUGGUUCACCAAGCUCUUCACUUCUACUUUCAGUGGUGCAUCUACUGAGGAUCCCCGGGAUUAUUUGGAUAGUUGUCACGAGGUUCUUCGGAACAUGGGUAUUGCUGAGACCAACGGGGAUAACUUCGCUACCCUUUGCUUGUCUAGAUCCGCAAAGACUUGGUGGAGGGAUUAUUGCUUUGCUAGACCAGUAGGAUCGCCGGCCUUGACAUCAGAGCUGUUUACAGUGUUAUUUCUUGAGAAGUUUCUCCCCGUUACUCAGAGAGAGGCCUAUCAGAGGCAGUUUGAGCACCUACAGCAGGGUUCCAUGACAGUCACCCUAUAUAAGACCAGGUUCAUUGACUUAGCUCGCCGUGAUCUUAUUAUACUCCCCACUGAGAGGGAGAGAGUGAGACGGUUUAUUGAUGGACUCAUUCAACCGAUUCGUCUCCAGAUGGCUAGAGAGACUGGGAGCGAGAUAGCCUUCUAGAAGUCGGCCAAUGUGUCCCGUAAGGUUGAGAUGGUAUUAUCACGGGGGAGGGGGGUGGUCAUAGGGCAGACAAGAGAGCUCGUUAGUUAGGGAGAUUCAUUGGUGCCUCAUUUGGAGGCAGAGAAUUGUAUGACAUGGGUCAUCCUCCUAGGACUUACCAGUUAGCACUCCAGGUUUCUCACGAUGCUUCAGGUGGCCGUGGUUCUCGCGGGCAAUAUUCUGAUCAACAGUCCUAUAGUUCAUUACCAGCUCCAAUUAGUGCACUCCCGCUUCAGAAUUUUCAAGGUGGUCAUUCAAGUUGACAAGGCCAGCAGUCUCAGCAGUCGAGGGCUUAUUACACUGGUGGUAAUCUGGGUCAUAUUGCCAGGUUUUUCCCUUGAGCACCAAGUAGCUCACAACACUAGGGUCCUCGUGCUAUGGUACAAGGACCAGAUGUUCUACAGCAUGCCCAGCCAGCUAGAGGUGGGGGUAGAGGUGCUAGAGGUGGAGGUAGAAGUCCUAGAGGUGGAGCUCAGACCGCUAGAUGUGAAGGCCAUCCAGCUGUAGGUCGUCCCAGAGGUAGAUCAGAGUGGCGGGGGCCAGGCCCGAAGAUAUGCUCUUCAGGCCACGCCCCAAGCAGAGGCUUCACACGCAAUUAUUACAGGUUUGGUUCAGGUUUAUUAUAGAGGUGCUUCGGUGUUGUUUGAUCCGGGGUCUACGUAUUCGUAUGUUUCAUCCUAUUUUGCCCCAUUCUUGGUCUUGCCUAGUGAUGCAUCGGGUGUUCCUGUUUAUGUGUCUACACCUGUGGGUGAUUCUAUUAUGGUCGAUCGAGUCGUUCUUGUAUUGUGGUGAUUGGGGUCUUAAGACUCGUGUAGAUUUGUUACCUUUAGACAUGGUUGACUUAGAUAUCAUAUUAGGGAUGGACUGAUUAUCACCUUACCACGCUAUCUUGGACUGUCAUGCAAAGAUUGUGACCUUAGCUUUAUCGGGUAUGCCUCGUUUAGAGUGGAGACGGACUCCUCGCCAUUCUACCCAUAGCAUUAUCUCUUAUGUGAAGGCUCGGCAUAUGGUCGAGAAGGGGUGUUUGGCCUAUUUGGCAUAUGUUCGUGAUUCUAGUACUAAGGUCCCUUCUAUUGAUUUUGUGCUCGUGGUUCGUGAGUUCCCUGAUAUUUUCCCUUCAGACCUGCGGGGCAUGUCGUCCGAUAGGUGACUUCUGCAUUGAUGUGGCUCCGGGCACCCAGCCCAUUUCUAUCCCGCCAUAUCGUAUGGCCCUACCCGAGUUAAAAUAGUUAAAGGUGUCACACCUUCUUUUAACAUCUACAACCCCGACGAAGGGCAUAGAUAAGAGAGUUUUCUAAUUUAAGGACAAUUGAAAUGAGAUUCAUUUAUUUAAAGAUCAGAAUCGCCACUUAGGAUAAUUUAUGGUGUCCGAAAUCACCGGUUUUAAUCCUGAAUCGAGGAAGGUAUGACUCUUUUUAACAAUCUUUGAACUAGAAAUCCGGGUAAGGAAUUCUGUUAACCUAGGAGAAUGUGUUAGGCACUCCCGAAUUCUAUGGUUCUAGCACGGUCCCUCAACUGCUUUAUUUGACUUAAUUAUCUGAUUUUAAUGAAUUUUUUGUACCUAUGUGCAAAGUUUGACUUUUAAAUCGCUUUUAUCUAAUUUUUAAGAAUAUUGCAACAUUGUUAAAACACGUCUCGAACCACGUCACAUAAAUGUACCUACAGUCUUUGACAUAUUUCAACAUCCUUGGGAUUUGGAUUUGGGUCACAUAAAUGUGCACCCGUAUUUAGGAAAGUGAAUUGUUUAACAACGCGGCUAAAGCAACUUUGUAUGUUUAGGUUUGCGAGGGCCACGAAAAUUCGCUAAGUGGUGCACCUAGGGUUCUAAGGAUUAUACGAUUAAUUAAAAUGAUGGCCAUGAGCUUAGAGAUUUUAUUUGACAUGACACGCUUCAAAGGGCUUUAUUCGACUAAAACAAACUACUGAUGUUUAUAAGUUAUUUAUUUCUAAGUUUGAGAUCAAAUAUGAAAAGGUCCAAAAUGUAUGCAAUCUAUUUGUAUGAAAGUGGCUGCAAUUUGCUAAGGAAAUUAAAAAGGGCGAGACUAGAUGCAUAUGUUGUUGCAAGCUGCUGUAAUAGCACAGUUUUUACUCAAGAACAACCAAGACAUUAUGAAUCAUUCAAGGCUACACCUGACUAACUUGUAGACAUGAUUGAUGCCUAUUGCUCCAAUGGUAGUACUUAAAUUAUUCAGAAUCGUCCUUAAACCAUUUAAACUCACCAUUGAAUACCAUAAUAGCAAAAGCGCAAUACUGUGGCGCAAAAGAGUGUAUAGGUUCAAAUUAGAUUUCUUAAACCAUUUAAACUCACCAUUGAAUAGCAUAAUAGUGAGACACUGAUUUAGAAUAAGUAGCUUUUCCAUUACAAAAUAAUCGUCAAACACCUACCCUUCUGUAUAUUUACAUUUGAACUACCAAACAAAAUAGGGGAAACAAUAAGUCAUGAAUAUUUAAAGUAACUCCUAAACAAAUAUGCACAAUUAAGAUCUCACUAAUCUUAUACUACAUCAAAGAGGGAUGUAUGUAGUACCAAACACGUUUGAUGGGUUCAAAACAUAUACUUGAAUCAAUAUGUGACAAUAUUGAACGCAGAACUCGGUCAGCUAGUUCAAGUAGACAUAUGAGCAGACAUAUUUAAAAUCAUAAAUAACAAGCCAUAGGAUCUAAUCACAAAACACAAUUAACAAUAGAAUGAGUAAAGGAUCAAAGAAUUGGACCUUACUGUUAAAGUCCUUUAAAACUUGUUAACGAACACAAAAUCAGCAACGAAAUACGAUCGUAGACUUCGAGCCCGACCUCGACAGAACCUCGUCGAACAACGGCUAACCUCAACCUCGACGCUCACUGGACAACUCAAACCAAAUCAGAAAACAGACCUGACUAACUUCAUGACAUCAGCUCCUAAUCUGGAGUUGUCUACUGGAUUUUAUGCGUCUGUGCCUCGUGGUGUGUGUGUGUGAAGGUGAAGCUCACCGGAGAUGGGGUUGUUUUAGGUUUCUGCGUUCUUUUUGUGUGAUUCUGUGUGUUCUCUAAAAAUGAUGGAAGGGGUUGAAGAAGGUAAGUUCAAGGAGGGGUCGUUUCUCUGGUGUUAUGCCGCUGGUCAUAUGUGAGCUUUGAACAGAGGGUCAUUAGGGUGGAUCUAGGAAGACGAAAUACAGGGUUAGGUCCUUGAUGAAAGCUGCGAUUUUUUCUUCUCUUUUUCUAGGCGUUCCUCUUUCUUCUAUAUAGAUCUAGGUUUUGUUUUUU
rnacentral:lncRNA from 1 species